rnacentral:rRNA from 1 species
GACGAACGCUGGCGGCGUGGAUUAGGCAUGCAAGUCGAACGGUAUCAUCCUUUCGGGGGUGAGAGAGUGGCGAACUGGUGAGUAACACGUAGGUUAUCUACCCUCAAGACGGGGACAACCCAGGGAAACUUGGGCUAAUACCGGAUGUGAGCAACUUUUAGUUGUUUGAAAGGUGGCGUAAGCUGUCGCUUGGGGAUGAGCCUGCGUCCUAUUAGUUAGUUGGUGAGGUAACGGCUCACCUAGGCAAUGAUAGGUAGGCGGCCUUAACGGGUGGUCGCCCACACUGGGAUUGAGAUACGGCCCAGACUCCUACGGGAGGCAGCAGUCGAGAAUAGUCUACAAUGGUCGGAAGACUGAUAGUGCGACGCCGCGUGAACGAUGAAUCCCUUCGGGGUGUAAAGUUCUUUUAUAUGUGAGCAGUGCUUCUUAUAUUAACAGUAUGGGGAGAGAGAUAUUAGCAUAUGAAUAAGCAACGGCUAACUCCGUGCCCAGCAGCCGACGGUAAAACGU